UUUGACAGCAACGCUAAACACUCAAAUUUCAAACCAAACUUUCCAAAAGCACUUUUUCAUAGAAUUUUUUAAAAACAUUGCCAAACUAGCCCUUAACUAGUGGCAUGACAUUAUAUUAUCAUAUUUAAUUUAUUAAAUUAUCUUUAUUAAAUUAAAGUUUGCAUUCACGUACUUUAACAUUUUGCAAUAUUAUUUGCAUUAAAUAUUUAAUAAUAUUUAAGUUGAUAAAUUUUAAAUUUCAUAAUUUUAAUUGUCUACAAAAGUGUUUCAAAUUUAUCAUGUAAUAUAUAUGUAUGUUUUUUAGAUGAAAAAUUACAGUUAACAUUUCAAAUGAAAAAUUACAC
rnacentral:lncRNA from 1 species